CUGUUCCUUUUUCCUAUGCAUAUACUUCUUUGAAACAUAACUUUAAAGAGGCAUAAGGCAUGGGAAAAUGGGGCUG
rnacentral:pre_miRNA from 1 species